rnacentral:rRNA from 1 species
ACGCUGGCGGCGUGCUUAACACAUGCAAGUCGAACGGAGUUUUUAAACGGAAGUUUUCGGAUGGAAGUUUAGAAACUUAGGUGGCGGACGGGUGAGUAACGGCGUGGGUAACCUGCCUCAUACAGGGGGAUAACAGUUUAGAAAUGACUGCUAACACCGCAUAAUAUAGCGAAACCGCAUGAUUUUUGCUAUCAAAUAUUUAUAGGUAUGAGAUGGGCCCGCGUCUGAUUAGCUAGUUGGUGGGGUAAAGGCCUACCAAGGCGACGAUCAGUAGCCGGCUUGAGAGAGUGACCGGCCACAUUGGGACUGAGACACGGCCCAAACUCCUACGGGAGGCAGCAGUGGGAAUAUUGGACAAUGGGGGAAACCCUGAUCCAGCCGACGCCGCGUGAGUGAAGAAGUAUUUCGGUAUGUAAAGCUCUAUCAGCAGGGAAGGAUAAUGACAGUACCUGACUAAGAAGCCCCGGCUAACUACGUGCCAGCCGCCGC